rnacentral:lncRNA from 10 species
GUGCUUUCUGGGGUCCUUCAGCAGCAGUGCAAUGAGGAGCAUGCACAGGAGAGAUUCUAUUUUCCUUGGAUGGCUUUCUUGAGCCUUGGAAAUCUGGCUCACCAGGAAUUCUAGGCUUCUGUUGUCCCUUGCUUCCUAUCUACCAAAAGCACAAUGAUGCCUUUCUUUUUACUCACAUUUGAUGACAUCCAUAGUGAGAAACAGCAGUUCCACUGUCCAACACCAGGAAAUGUUCUGACUGUUUCACCGCUCCAGCUAAUACUUACAGAGGUGUGGCCUAUUCCCACUUGUAUUGGGGGCUUUAGAAUCUGACUCCUUACAUUCCUAAGAUUAAAAGACAUCUUGUGCUGUUUUAUGUUCUGAGAAGGAUUGAUUACCACAAAGACAGAUCUAUAGAGAAUGUGAGUGGAAACUAUACGAGCUGCUAACGGGACAAGGCAUUUAAGAAUCAUCCGAGUUCUGCUCUUCUUGCUGGCUGGAGGCAUGCCCUCAGAACUUUUAAUCUUUAUGAAACAUUUGAAGACCUCGAGAAAGGACAAUACCCUUGGUUCUAUACAGAUGCUGUCAUGAAUUCAUCUUAUAUCAGUUUCAUAAAUCUGAGAAAACAAACUAGAGAGAAGGCAACACAUAUUUCAUUUUAGCUGUGAGCAACUUCCAUUGUGAAUCAAGGAUUCAUUCAAAAUACAUCUGGUAUGAGGUUUUGCUUUUCACAGAAUGGCAACAUCUAACCUCAUCACACAGGUGAGGACAAAGCAAUUGUAUCUUUUAGAGAGGUACACAUUUUAAAACUUCAGAUGUGAGUUUUCAGAUGUAGGAAAAAAAGCUUUGUAAUUUCUCCUAUAAAAAAGCCACCACUCACCUAUAUCUUGGGUGUGCUACAUGAAGCACACCAAGGAAUAUGAAGUUCAACUCUGUGAUUAUGAUUUUCAAAUGUUAAAUAAAU